GAUGAACGCUGGCGGCGUGCCUAAUACAUGCAAGUCGAGCGAACAGAUAAGGAGCUUGCUCCUUUGACGUUAGCGGCGGACGGGUGAGUAACACGUGGGUAACCUACCUAUAAGACUGGGAUAACUUCGGGAAACCGGAGCUAAUACCGGAUAACAUUUGGAACCGCAUGGUUCUAAAGAGAAAGAUGGUUUUGCUAUCACUUAUAGAUGGACCCGCGCCGUAUUAGCUAGUUGGUAAGGUAACGGCUUACCAAGGCAACGAUACGUAGCCGACCUGAGAGGGUGAUCGGCCACACUGGAACUGAGACACGGUCCAGACUCCUACGGGAGGCAGCAGUAGGGAAUCUUCCGCAAUGGGCGAAAGCCUGACGGAGCAACGCCGCGUGAGUGAUGAAGGGUUUCGGCUCGUAAAACUCUGUUAUUAGGGAAGAACAAAUGUGUAAGUAACUGUGCACGUCUUGACGGUACCUAAUCAGAAAGCCACGGCUAACUACGUG
rnacentral:rRNA from 1 species